AGUGAACGCUGGCGGUAGGCCUAACACAUGCAAGUCGAACGGCAGCACAGUAAGAGCUUGCUCUUACGGGUGGCGAGUGGCGGACGGGUGAGGAAUACAUCGGAAUCUACUUUUUCGUGGGGGAUAACGUAGGGAAACUUACGCUAAUACCGCAUACGACCUACGGGUGAAAGCAGGGGAUCUUCGGACCUUGCGCGAUUGAAUGAGCCGAUGUCGGAUUAGCUAGUUGGCGGGGUAAAGGCCCACCAAGGCGACGAUCCGUAGCUGGUCUGAGAGGAUGUUCAGCCACACUGGGACUGAGACACGGGCCAGACUCCGACGGGAGGCAGCAGUGGGGAAUAUUGGACAAUGGGCGCAAGCCUGAUCCAGCCAUACCGCGUGGGUGAAGAAGGCCUUCGGGUUUUAAAGCCCUUUUGUUGGGAAAGAAAAGCAGCAGGUUAAUACCCCGCUGUUCUGACGGUACCCAAAGAAUAAGCACCGGCUAACUUCGUG
rnacentral:rRNA from 1 species